UAGCCGCAACUGUUCGGGCAUGCCCCUC
rnacentral:sRNA from 1 species